GCAUAUCAAUAAGCGGAGGAAAAGAAACCAACAGGGAUUGCCCUAGUAACGGCGAGUGAAGCGGCAACAGCUCAAAUUUGAAAUCUGGCUCUUUUAGAGUCCAAGUUGUAAUUUGCAGAGGGCGCUUUGGCUUUGGCAGCGGUCCAAGUUCCUUGGAACAGGACGUCACAGAGGGUGAGAAUCCCGUACGUGGUCGCUGGCUAUUGCCGUGUAAAGCCCCUUCGACGAGUCGAGUUGUUUGGGAAUGCAGCUCUAAAUGGGAGGUACAUUUCUUCUAAAGCUAAAUAUUGGCCAGAGACCGAUAGCGCACAAGUAGAGUGAUCGAAAGAUGAAAAGCACUUUGGAAAGAGAGUCAAACAGCACGUGAAAUUGUUGAAAGGGAAGCGCUUGCAGCCAGACUUGCUUACAGUUGCUCAUCCGGGUUUCUACCCGGUGCACUCUUCUGUAGGCAGGCCAGCAUCAGUUUGGGCGGUAGGAUAAAGGUCUCUGUCACGUACCUCCUUUCGGGGAGGCCAUAUAGGGGAGACGACAUACUACCAGCCUGGACUGAGGUCCGCGCAUCUGCUAGGAUGCUGGCGAAUGGCUGUAAGCGGCCCGUCUUGAAACACGGACC
rnacentral:rRNA from 1 species